ensembl:lncRNA
GAGGAUGACACUGGUGACUGCAAUGACAUGCUGUCAUUUUGUCCCCAGAACCCCUUGUUCAAAUAAUGCCAAGAGUCUCCAUGUGGGCAGGACAUAUAGAGCUUUCUAGAAUUGGCUGCAUCAGCUUUUGCCCUUUGAGAAGAUGCUGCAUUUGAGGCAUGGACCAUUGCAAGUCGCCAACAGGAAAGUUAAAGAAUAGAACUGCACCCUGUGGUGUAGUAUGAAUGUGUAAUAUAGAAUCUUAUUAUGUAUAAUAAAGACUAUGCAAAUAAAAUAUAGGAAAGGUUUAUCGCAAAAAAAAGAAGCGCUGUGCAAUCUAUGAUGUAUGAGUAGGCGUGAAUACUGACGUGAUAAGUAGGCGGGGCUAAAGGCCCGGCCAGCCCUUGAGGGCAAGGUGGGUUUGGGAGGACCACAGGCACAGCAGCUGUUUGUCAGGCAUUGCAUAAUGACACCAUCUGGCUGUGGACACCACACUUUAGGAUGCCACAGGAAGGAGCAGGCACCCUUGCCUUGAAGGCUCAGAACCAAAGGGGCUGUGCUGAAAUAUUUCAUUCCAGAGAUGGGCGAUGUACUUAAGUGAACAGAGGAGGAGCCUAGAGAGAGUAGACACUUUCUUUGCUUCCUGCUUGUGUCUGCUACACAUCCUCCCCAUGCCACAUCCUCCCAUCGCAAGCUCCUUCAGUUUUCUAACAGGUGGGCAGCUCGGCCUUCCUUGCUCUUUCAAUAACAGUGGGCAUGUUUAAGAAAAAGUAUUUAUUUCAUGAUAAAUGUUCAAGAUGAGAGUUAAAAACAUACUGAGACUCUUAUUAUAUCUUAAAUUCUUAUUAAAUCUUAAAUUCUAAUGUUGGAUUGUUCAAAACAGGGAAGGAGACCUGAACCCAUGAUAUAAGGAUGUAUGCUGAGAGGUACAUAUCAAGGUUCAUCCAUCUAUGCAUAGCUAUCCAAUUCAGACAUUAUGUGUCAUAGAUGCUGACUCUUUAAUAUGCAUUGUUGGCAUCGUUGUGAAAAAUCUGGUGGGUAUAGGAGUGUGGGCUUAUAUCUGAUUCCUCUUUUAAAAUAUGACUUUAGUUUCAUGGGUUUAUAUCUGAAUCUUCUAUUUUAUUGAGCUUCUGCCUGUUUCUGUGCUAGUACCAUGCUGUUUGGAUCACUAUGGCUCUGUGAUAACAUAACUACAGGUAUGUUAACAACUCCAGCACUAAUCUUUUUGCCCAUGAUUUUUCUGGUCUGUGGGAUAUUUUGUGUCUACACAUAAAUUUUUAGAUUUUUCUGUUUAUGUGAAGAAUAGCAUUGCACUUUUGAGACUGCACUGAACCUGUGUAUUUUAUUAGGCAGGCCGACCAUUACUUAAAAUAUUUUGUCCAUCCAUGAACAUGGGAGGUCUUUCUAUGUUCUAUUAUUUUCCUCUAUUUCCUUCUACAGUGUUUCUCAAGUUUUUAUUCUAUAGAUCUUUUAUUACCUUUGUUGGGUUUAUUCCAUGUAGUGUUUUUUUAAACAACUGUUAUUAGGAUCAUUUCUGUCACUUCAUUUUCAGUAUACUUGCCCUUCAACUAUAGGAAGAGUACUACUUAAGUUCUGUUAAUAACUAUUUAGUUCUGUUAAUAACUAUUUAAGUUCUGUUAAUAACACAUCUCAUUGCUAUGUUGAAAAUGUUUUUCAACUGGAUGAGUUCUCUAGUGGAGUCAGGGUCUUUAAUGU